UGAAAAAGUCACGGGUAAGAAGAGAAACGUCCGGGCAAAGAGUCGCGGUUAUGGGGAACUUGUGGUCGACCGCAGCAGAACCUCCACCGCUUAUGGUGUUAGUUCCGCCCCUCUUCAAUUUUCCUCCUCUCGCCGCCUGCACAAGGAUGCUGGAAUCAUCAUAUAAUAUGUUAUUUGGGAAACUGGCAUUGAGAUGCCUUUUUGAGGAUUAUUUCGAGGAAGCCAGGCACUUUAGCACCAGAAUUAUGCUUAAGCCAAUUGAUGAUCCACACGUUGAUUUGAUUGCAACAAAUUAAUAUUAUAGAACUGGUUGUCGUUUAUACUCAGUUGUUGUUUGAACGUAUAACAACAUACAUUUUCGUACAGGACCUAACUACUUGAAUUUAAAAUAUAAGUGCGAAUUAUAUAAAA